AAUUUUUCAAACUUGAAUCAAAAUGUAUGAUCUCAAAGUUAAUUGAAUGUUUUUUGUGAUUCCAAAGUAAUGUUCUGAGAAAUCAAGGAUUCAAAAUUUCGAAAUUGACAUUUGAAAUAAUAAGAAAUGACCAUUUCUCGACGUCGUACGCGUGCUGUGCAGGUUCAGAGCAAUAACGAGCUCGUACUAUAGGGGAGCCUUGGGUGCACUAGUGGUGUACGACAUUUCCCGGCGGGGGACGUUCCACAACGUCGAGAAAUGGCUCGACGAGCUCCGUGGCUUCAGCAACUCCGAUAUGGUAGUCGUCCUCGUUGGCAACAAGUCCGACGCGGCCCGCCACCUCCGCGAGGUCAGCGAGGAGGACGGCCGGAGUCUCGCGGAAGCGGAAGGGAUCUCCUUCAUGGAGACCUCCGCCAGGGACGGGGUCAACGUCGACGCUGCUUUCCUUGAGAUGAUAGCCAAGAUCCACCUCCGGAACACCUCCCACCGCUCAUUAGACGGCGGCAGCGGCAGAGGGAGGAAUUCCUCUGCCGCCGUUGCUCCGGGGGCGCCGCUUCCCCCAGGGGGCACCUCCGGAACACCUCCCACCGCUCAUUAGACGGCGGCAGCGACAGAGGAAGUAAUUCCUCUGCUGCCGUGGCUCCGGUGUCGUCGCUUCCCAGAGGGAGGGCGAUUCUUAGCUUUGAUGAUGGUGGUGGUGACAACCAAGGCGGAGCAACUAAACCGGCGGAUUCAACCUCUACUAGAAGCUGUUGUUCUUCCUAAAAAAAAGAGAUUGAAAGUUUUCUAACCGCGAGCGGUAAAAGAAAAGAAAUUGAUCGAUGUUACCCCCUCUAUUUUGAUAAUGGUGAGAAAUGUAUACCGAUGUUAACUUUUUUUUGUUUUUACUGUAUGUUUUUGAAGGUUCCCGUCUCAAUUUCGAUAAUCCAGUCCGUAUCGGGAAUCAAAAUUGACAAUCUAAAAACAAUAUUGGUGUGGUAGCUUAGUUAUAAUCUUACGGGGGAUUGUUGAAUUGGAGAAUCGAA
rnacentral:lncRNA from 1 species